rnacentral:rRNA from 1 species
AUACGGAGGGUGCAAGCGUUGUUCGGAAUCACUGGGCGUAAAGGGCGCGCAGGCGGUUUGGUAAGUCAGAUGUGAAAGCCCACGGCUCAACCGUGGAAGUGCAUUUGAAACUGUCAGACUUGAGUACUAGAGGGGAAAGUGGAAUUCCCGGUGUAGAGGUGAAAUUCGUAGAUAUCGGGAGGAAUACCGGUGGUGAAGGCGACUUUCUGGCUAGAUACUGACGCUGAGGCGCGAAAGCGUGGGGAGCAAACAGGAUUAGAAACCCUGUAGUCC